CUACGGGAGGCAGCAGUGGGGAAUCUUGCACAAUGGGGGAAACCCUGAUGCAGUGACGCCGCGUGAGCGAUGAAGCCCUUCGGGGUGUAAAGCUCUUUCGACAGGGACGAUAAUGACGGUACCUGGAGAAGAAGCUGCGGCUAACUACGUACCAGCAGCCGCGGUAAUACGUAGGCAGCAAACGUUGUUCGGAGUUACUGGGCGUAAAGAGUGCGUAGGCGGUUCGCCAAGUUCGGUGUGAAAUCUCCCGGCUUAACUGGGAGGGUGCGCCGAAAACUGGCGAGCUUGAGUGUGGGAGAGGGAAGCGGAAUUCCUGGUGUAGCGGUGAAAUGCGUAGAUAUCAGGAGGAACACCGGUGGUGUAGACGGCUUCCUGGACCACAACUGACGCUGAGGCACGAAAGCGUGGGUAGCAAACAGGAUUAGAAACCCGAGUAGUCC
rnacentral:rRNA from 1 species